rnacentral:rRNA from 1 species
GACAGAGGGUGCAAACGUUGCUCGGAAUUAUUGGGCGUAAAGCGCGUGUAGGCGGCUUGUUAAGUCGGUUGUGAAAACCCAUGGCUCAACCAUGGAAGGGCGUCCGAAACUGGCAAGCUUGAGUCCCGACGAGGAUGGCGGAAUUCCCAGUGUAGAGGUGAAAUUCGUAGAUAUUGGGAGGAACACCGGUGGCGAAGGCGGCCAUCUGGGAGGGCACUGACGCUGAGACGCGAAAGCGUGGGGAGCAAACAGG